UACGGAGGGUGCGAGCGUUGUCCGGAAUCAUUGGGCGUAAAGGGCGCGUAGGUGGCACGAUCAGCGUGCGGUGAAAGCCCGGGGCUCAACUCCGGGUCGGCCGUGCGAACUGGGGGACUGGAGCUUGUCAGAGGCAGGCGGAAUUCCGGGUGUAGCGGUGGAAUGCGUAGAGAUCCGGAAGAACACCGGUGGCGAAGGCGGCCUGCUGGGACAGUGCUGACGCUGAGGCGCGACAGCGUGGGGAGCAAACAGG
rnacentral:rRNA from 1 species